rnacentral:rRNA from 1 species
AACGAACGCUGGCGGCAGGCUUAACACAUGCAAGUCGAGCGCCCCGCAAGGGGAGUGGUAGACGGGUGAGUAACGCGUGGGAAUCUACCCAUCUCUACGGAAUAACGCAUGGAAACGUGUGCUAAUGCCGUAUACGUCCUUCGGGAGAAAGAUUUAUCGGAGAUGGAUGAGCCCGCGUUGGAUUAGCUAGUUGGUGGGGUAAAGGCCUACCAAGGCGACGAUCCAUAGCUGGUCUGAGAGGAUGAUCAGCCACACUGGGACUGAGACACGGCCCAGACUCCUACGGGAGGCAGCAGUGGGGAAUAUUGGACAAUGGGCGCAAGCCUGAUCCAGCCAUGCCGCGUGAGUGAUGAAGGCCCUAGGGUUGUAAAGCUCUUUCACCGGUGAAGAUAAUGACGGUAACCGGAGAAGAAGCCCCGGCUAACUUCGUGCCAGCAGCCGCCGUAACAC